UGCAUCGUCUCGGUGCUGGCCGGGUGUCUGCACCCUGCCACGGCCCAGUGGUUUUCUCUGGGCUCAGAGGACACCGCCCCCGAUCCAGGCACCAGCCCCACGCCCCUCACCCUGGAUGGGGAGGAAGACACAGACACCAGCGUGGAGCGCGUGGGGAAGGUGCUGCUGAGCAAACCUCCUCUGGCAACAGCCCCUAGACGCCGGGACCAACCCUCCAGGGGGACAGCGAAGGGGUCAGGCCAUGCCCCGCCGCGCACACGAGGCCAGCACCGACCCACGGCCGCCCCGGAGGUCCUUGAGGGGAGCGCAGUGGAAGAGGAGUUCCUGCAGAUGCAGACGACGGCGAAGGGGCUGCCCCGGCGGGUCCCGUCGGCCCCCGAGACGGACCCAGCCCUCCAGGUGCACAACACCUCCGGCUGUGUCUGCCCCUUGCGCCCCGGCCCUCCCGGCCCAAAGGUGCGGUGGUCCUCCCGGGGAGGGGCAGGGGUGUGCGGGGACCCCCAGGGACACACUGCGCGAAAUCCUGUUCGUCCUUUGUGCAAAACCCUUUUUGCUCAGGAUCUGGACUCUAACUUUGGGGACUGGGUUGAGAAGUGGCUCAGGUGGCCCCAGGGAGGGGGUCAGCAGGUGCCCGUGGUGGGCCCCAGUGGAGAAAAGUGCCGGAAGGUGGAGCCAGGCUUUGAAUUUCCCCGACAGGGAGAGAAAGGUGACCGAGGAUUCCCUGGAGAGAGAGGCAAGCCCGGAUUCUUAGGGGAGAGAGGGAAGUCCGGCAGCCCAGG
rnacentral:lncRNA from 1 species